UUAAUUGAAACCAAAUAGAGGUUUAUCACUGUUAAUGAUAAUAUUGAAUAAAUAUAUUCCAAUUAAA
rnacentral:tRNA from 1 species